rnacentral:rRNA from 1 species
GAUGAACGCUGGCGGCGUGCCUAAUACAUGCAAGUCGAGCGAACAGAUGAGGAGCUUGCUCCUCUGACGUUAGCGGCGGACGGGUGAGUAACACGUGGAUAACCUACCUAUAAGACUGGGAUAACUUCGGGAAACCGGAGCUAAUACCGGAUAAUAUAUUGAACCGCAUGGUUCAAUAGUGAAAGACGGUUUUGCUGUCACUUAUAGAUGGAUCCGCGCCGCAUUAGCUAGUUGGUAAGGUAACGGCUUACCAAGGCAACGAUGCGUAGCCGACCUGAGAGGGUGAUCGGCCACACUGGAACUGAGACACGGUCCAGACUCCUACGGGAGGCAGCAGUAGGGAAUCUUCCGCAAUGGGCGAAAGCCUGACGGAGCAACGCCGCGUGAGUGAUGAAGGUCUGCGGAUCGUAAAACUCUGUUAUUAGGGAAGAACAAAUGUGUAAGUAACUAUGCACGUCUUGACGGUACCUAAUCAGAAAGCCACGGCUAACUACGUG